UAGAGCUCUCCAAAGCGAAUCGUGUUCUA
rnacentral:sRNA from 1 species